rnacentral:rRNA from 1 species
AUUGAACGCUGGCGGCAUGCCUUACACAUGCAAGUCGAACGGCAGCACGGGAGCAAUCCUGGUGGCGAGUGGCGAACGGGUGAGUAAAGUAUCGGAACGUGCCCAGUCGUGGGGGAUAACGUAGCGAAAGUUACGCUAAUACCGCAUACGAUCUAUGGAUGAAAGCGGGGGAUCGCAAGACCUCGCGCGAUUGGAGCGGCCGAUAUCAGAUUAGGUAGUUGGUGGGGUAAAGGCCCACCAAGCCGACGAUCUGUAGCUGGUCUGAGAGGACGACCAGACACACUGGGACUGAGACACGGCCCAGACUCCUACGGGAGGCAGCAGUGGGGAAUUUUGGACAAUGGGCGAAAGCCUGAUCCAGCCAUGCCGCGUGCAGGAUGAAGGCCUUCGGGUUGUAAACUGCUUUUGUACGGAACGAAAAGGACUGCCCUAAUACGGUGGUCCCAUGACGGUACCGUAAGAAUAAGCACCGGCUAACUACGUGCCAGCCGCCGCGGUAAGAC